UCUCUUAAAAGGAGAGAAGAACGGCCUCCAUCUUCUAAAAAAAUUCUCCAUCUCAAACGUCAUUUUCUCCUGAUGGAGAAGCUGAAAAUUUCACCAUCUAAAAAGCUUGAAGUGCUUUUGGCUGAUAAAUGACCAAAAUAAUCUGUCUUCUCCCCCUUGGAAAAACGUUAUUUCCUCUGCUGUGAAAGUUCUAUACCCAUUUUUUUCACAUUUUCGCUGUGAAAGCUCCUUCCUGUUCUUUGUUCCUCUUCCGCAGAAAAAUGGCAGGGCUGGGUUACUGAAGAACUCUCAACCUCUGAAAAAAAAAAACAAAGAAGAUUUUAUACUUAGAAAAACGAAACGCGAUGCAGUGGAAUUUCUCUUCGGAUUCGGUUAAAUUUCAGUUUCCCUGUUGAUACUUAAUUUCUUUUCCGUAUAUUUCCUUUUUGUUUUGUGGCAAUGUCCGGCGAAACGGCAUCGUCUUCCGGAAUCAUCUUGGAAGGAAUUGAUGAUGUGGAGGACUACGUUUCGGGAGUUCAUACACCGGGUGGUAACAGGUUACUUACCAAGUGUGAUUCUAAUCUUAUUUCUGUAUGCUGUUCCACCAACCAUGAUGUUGUUUCCUGCAAUGGAGGGAAAUAUUUCACGUACUCAGAGGAAACGGAGUGCUUGCAUCAAAGUUCUGUACAAUAUGGGCAUUCCAUAUUUUACCCUCAAAUUAGAAUCUUAGUAUCCAUUGCACGCUAAACUGAUCAAUUGAAACUAUGUUUGCUUUUAUAAUUCUAAGUAUUUUGUUUUAUAUUCUCAAACAUUUAAUCUAAAGGGAGAUGAAAUAGUUAGUUCGAUCCA